UACGAAGGGGGCUAGCGGUGUUCGGAAUUACUGGGCGUAAAGCGCACGUAGGCGGGUUUGUAAGUAGGGGGUGAAAUCCCAGGGCUCAACCCUGGAACUGCCUUCUAGACUGCAAGCCUGGAGGUCAGGAGAGGCGAGUGGAAUUCCGAGUGUAGAGGUGAAAUUCGUAGAUAUUCGGAGGAACACCAGUGGCGAAGGCGACUCGCUGGACUGAUACUGACGCUGAGGUGCGAAAGCGUGGGGAGCAAACAGG
rnacentral:rRNA from 1 species